GAUGAACGCUAGCUACAGGCUUAACACAUGCAAGUCGAGGGGCAGCAUGGUCUUAGCUUGCUAAGGCCGAUGGCGACCGGCGCACGGGUGAGUAACACGUAUCCAACCUGCCGUCUACUCUUGGACAGCCUUCUGAAAGGAAGAUUAAUACAAGAUGGCAUCAUGAGUUCACAUGUUCACAUGAUUAAAGGUAUUCCGGUAGACGAUGGGGAUGCGUUCCAUUAGAUAGUAGGCGGGGUAACGGCCCACCUAGUCUUCGAUGGAUAGGGGUUCUGAGAGGAAGGUCCCCCACAUUGGAACUGAGACACGGUCCAAACUCCUACGGGAGGCAGCAGUGAGGAAGAUUGGUCAAUGGGCGAGAGCCUGAACCAGCCAAGUAGCGUGAAGGAUGACUGCCCUAUGGGUUGUAAACUUCUUUUAUAAAGGAAUAAAGUCGGGUAUGUAUACCCGUUUGCAUGUACUUUAUGAAUAAGGACCGGCUAACUCCGUG
rnacentral:rRNA from 1 species